GAGGGUAUAGCUCAGUGGUAGAGUGCAUGCUUAGCAUGCAUGAGGUCCUGGGUUCAGCCCCCAGUACCCACC
rnacentral:tRNA from 1 species